rnacentral:rRNA from 1 species
UAUUGCACAAUGGGGGAAACCCUGAUGCAGCGACGCCGCGUGAGUGAAGAAGUAUUUCGGUAUGUAAAGCUCUAUCAGCAGGGAAGAAAAUGACGGUACCUGAAUAAGAAGCCCCGGCUAACUACGUGCCAGCAGCCGCGGUAAUACGCAGGAGGCAAGCGUUACCCGGAUUUACUGGGUGUAAAGGGAGCGUAGACGGCAGAGCAAGUCUGGAGUGAAAUGCCGGGGCUUAACCCCGGAGCUGCUUUGGAAACUGUGCAGCUAGAGUGCAGGAGAGGUAAGUGGAAUUCCUAGUGUAGCGGUGAAAUGCGUAGAUAUUAGGAGGAACACCAGUGGCGAAGGCGGCUUACUGGACUGUAACUGACGUUGAGGCUCGAAAGCGUGGGGAGCAAACAGG